UGGGGAAUUUUGGACAAUGGGCGCAAGCCUGAUCCAGCCAUGCCGCGUGCGGGAAGAAGGCCUUCGGGUUGUAAACCGCUUUUGUCAGGGAAGAAAUCUUCUGAGUUAAUACCUCGGGAGGAUGACGGUACCUGAAGAAUAAGCACCGGCUAACUACGUGCCAGCAGCCGCGGUAAUACGUAGGGUGCAAGCGUUAAUCGGAAUUACUGGGCGUAAAGCGUGCGCAGGCGGUUUUGUAAGACAGAGGUGAAAUCCCCGGGCUCAACCUGGGAACUGCCUUUGUGACUGCAAGGCUUGAGUGCGGCAGAGGGGGGAUGGAAUUCCGCGUGUAGCAGUGAAAUGCGUAGAUAUGCGGAGGAACACCGAUGGCGAAGGCAAUCCCCUGGGCCUGCACUGACGCUCAUGCACGAAAGCGUGGGGAGCAAACAGGAUUAGAUAGCCCUGGUAGUCCACGCCCUAAACGAUGUCAACUGGUUGUUGGGAAGGUUCCUUCUCAGUAACGUAGCUAACGCGUAAGUUGACCGCCUGGGGAGU
rnacentral:rRNA from 1 species